rnacentral:rRNA from 1 species
GCCACCGCACCAUGUUGGGAAUACCGUUUGUCGUCUGAUCACCGAAGUUAGGCAAUUUUGGGCCAGGUUAAUACUUGCAUGGGUGGCCGGCUGGGAAUGCGGGUUGUUGUGGCU